GCCAACCUAUCUACUGCUGCUAAUCUAUCGCCGCUGCUAAGCUAUUCCUCGCUGCUAAGCUAUCGCCGCUGCCAACCUAUCUACCUAGGUAUUGCUGCAAGCUAUCCCUCGCUGCUUAGCUAUCGCUGCCAACCUCUCUAUUGCUGCAAGCUAUCCCUCACUGCUAAGCUAUCACAGCCAAUCUAUUGCUGCUAAUCUAUCGCUGCCAAUCUAUCUACCGCGGCGAAUCUAUCUAUCGCUGCCAAUUUAUCUACCACUGCCAAUCUAUCUAUCGCUGCCAAUCUAUUGCUGCCAAUCUAUCGCUGCUAAUCUAUCGCUGCUGCCAAUCUAUCUUUCGCUGCUAAUCUAUCGCCGCUGCCAAUCUAUCCCUCGCUGCUAAGCUAUCCCUCACUGCUAAGCUAUCUCUCGCUGCUAAGCUAUCCCUCACUGCUAAGCUAUCUCUCGCUGCUAAGCUAUCCCUCACUGCUAAGCUAUCCCUCGCUGCUAAGCUAUCCCUCACUACUAAGCUAUCUAUCACUGCUAAUCUAUCGCUGCCAACCUAUCUAUCACUGCCAAUCUAUCUAUCGCUGCUAAUCUAUCGCUGCUAAUCUAUCGCUGCUAAUCUAUUGCUGCUAAUCUAUCGCUGCCAACCUAUCUACCGCGGCGAAUCUAUCUAUCACUAUCAUUACUAGUUCAAAAUAGAACUAGAGCAUAAAUACACUAAACUUCUUUUGAUAGGUAAUGAUUUUUGAUAAUGCUCAUAGCAUUAUAUCAUCUAUAUAGGGUAAAUCAUGGUCCCAUUUGGUCCCAUUUUAACAAAAUGGGAUCAAAUGGAACCAGAAUCAGUAAUUUAUAAGAAGAACAUGACCUGGGACUAGAUUUAUAAUAUAAACAGUGUAAAGUGACUAAUUUAAUAAACACUAUAUAGGACCAGGACUAAGAAAUUUGAUAAU
rnacentral:sRNA from 1 species